CCCAAUUAUCGCAUCGAACGGCCCUGGAUGUGGGCUACAAGCUGAGCCCCGAAGUGUGAACUUUGUGGCAGGCUUGACAACAAAGAGAAGCCAGUACAAGCUCAUGCCACUUGAAAACAUAAGUACAGAAGAUACAACAACAGUCUAAGACAAAGGUGUUUGUUGACAACAAAGACUGUCUAUAUACAGACGUUCCUCAAUCCAUCACAAAGAAAGGUCGCU